rnacentral:rRNA from 1 species
GGGUCAGUAGGUUGGUCGUGCCACCGGUACGUACUGGUCUCACUGAUUCCUCCUUCCUGAAGAACCGUAAUGCCAUUAAUUUGGUGUUGCGGGGAAACAGGACUGCUACUUUGAGAAAAUUAGAGUGUUUAAAGCAAGCUAACGCUUGAAUACAUUAGCAUAGAAUAAUGAAAUAGGACGAUCGAUCCUAUUUUGUUGGUUUCUAGGAUUGACGUA